rnacentral:rRNA from 1 species
AGUGAACGCUGGCGGUAGGCCUAACACAUGCAAGUCGAACGGCAGCACAGUAAGAGCUUGCUCUUACGGGUGGCGAGUGGCGGACGGGUGAGGAAUACAUCGGAAUCUACUUUUUCGUGGGUGAUAACGUAGGGAAACUUACGCUAAUACCGCAUACGACCUACGGGUGAAAGCAUGGGAUCUUCGGACCUUGCGCGAUUGAAUGAGCCGAUGUCGGAUUAGCUAGUUGGCGGGGUAAAGGCCCACCAAGGCGACGAUCCGUAGCUGGUCUGAGAGGAUGAUCAGCCACACUGGAACUGAGACACGGUCCAGACUCCUACGGGAGGCAGCAGUGGGGAAUAUUGGACAAAGGGCGCAAGCCUGAUCCAGCCAUACCGCGUGGGUGAAGAAGGCCUUCGGGUUGUAAAGCCCUUUUGUUGGGAAAGAAAAGCAGCAGGUUAAUACCCCGCUGUUCUGACGGUACCCAAAGAAUAAGCACCGGCUAACUUCGUG